rnacentral:lncRNA from 1 species
GAAUCCUCCAUAGUCUGGUGAGUGCAGUGUCCAACUCUGGAGCCCAGACUGUUGCUUCCCAGUCUGGUGGUGAAUCCUCCAUAGUCUGUUUUGUCAGCCUGGCGGGUGGCAGCUGUCCAGAGAGAGGAAGCAGCCAACGUUCUUUGUGGUUGUCCUGACAGACAUUGACUCAGAUCGACAUUACUGCUCAUGCCUAACCUUCUAUGAGGCAGAGAUCAAUCUUCAGGGAACAAAGAAGGAAGAGAUUGAAGGUGAAGCAAAAGUGUCUGGUUUAAUUCAGCCUGCAGAAGUGUUUGCUCCCAAAAGCCUGGUGUUGGUAUCCAGAUUAUAUUAUCCAGAAAUUUUUAGGGCUUGCCUGGGUUUGAUCUAUACCGUGUAUGUGGACAGCCUGAAUGUCUCCUUGGAAAGUCUAAUUGCAAACCUUUGUGCCUGCCUUGUCCCAGCGGCUGGAGGGUCUCAGAAGCUGUUUUCUUUGGGUGCAGGAGAUAGACAGUUGAUCCAGACUCCUUUACAUGAUAGUCUUCCUAUCACGGGCACUAGUGUGGCUCUCCUGUUCCAGCAAUUGGGAAUUCAAAAUGUCCUCAGCCUCUUUUGUGCAGUCCUCACAGAAAAUAAGGUUCUCUUCCAUUCUGCAAGUUUCCAGAGACUUAGUGAUGCUUGUAGAGCCCUGGAAUCUUUAAUGUUUCCUCUUAAAUAUAGUUAUCCUUAUAUCCCUAUUCUCCCGGCUCAGCUACUGGAAGUUCUAAGUUCCCCAACGCCUUUCAUUAUUGGAGUACAUUCUGUCUUUAAAACUGAUGUCCAUGAACUUAUUUUACACCCAGAUUUGGAAGUAGCAGAUCAUGCUUUUCCUCCUCCACGAACAGCUUUAUCCCACUCAAAAAUGCUGGAUAAAGAGGUGCGAGCCGUUUUCCUUAGAUUAUUUGCACAACUCUUCCAAGGAUAUAGAUCCUGCCUGCAACUUAUAAGAAUUCAUGCAGA